rnacentral:rRNA from 1 species
UCCCCUAGUAACUGCGAGUGAAGCGGGAAAAGCUCAAAUUUGAAAUCUGGCGGCUCUGCCGUCCGAGUUGUAUUCUGGAGAAGCGUUUUCCGUGCCGGACCGUGUACAAGUCCCUUGGAACAGGGCGUCGUAGAGGGUGAGAAUCCCGUCUUUGACACGGACCCCCGGUGCUAUGCGAUGCGCUCUCGAAGAGUCGAGUUGUUUGGGAAUGCAGCUCAAAAUGGGUGGUAAAUUCCAUCUAAAGCUAAAUAUUGGCGAGAGACCGAUAGCAAACAAGUACCGUGAGGGAAAGGUGAAAAGCACUUUGGAAAGAGAGUAAAACAGUACGUGAAAUUGUUGAAAGGGAAACGCUUGAAGUCAGUCGCGUCUGCCGGAACUCAGCCUUGCUUCUGCUUGGUGCACUUUCCGGUUCGACGGGCCAGCAUCGGUUUCUAGCGGCGGACACUGGCGUGGGGAAGGUGGCAGCUCCGGCUGUGUUAUAGCCCUUUGUCGCAAACGUCGCCUGGGACCGAGGAAUCCGGCGCAAGCCUGGGAUGCUGGCGUAAUGGCUUUAAACGACCC